UUUCAGAAAUUCUAAGCCAAGUUAGUGUUUCCUCGAGGUGAGGUAACAGGAAGUUCCAACGUGAAAAAAUGAGGAACAUACACUGCUGUCACUAGCCGAAGCCCAGAACACGGUCCUCUCCCUCCCCUCUCCUCCUGUCCUGGUCUUAGGGGUCCAAGAAGUACAGUCUGAAAACCAACCCUCUCUCACUUUAGAGAGAAGAAACUGAAACUGACUUGUCAGAGAAGGAAGUGACUUUCCCAAGGUCAAGUGGCAUGUCAGAAAUAAAAAUAGACCAGGAAAGGAGUUAACGAUAUGGAGACGGCACUAAUAGGCAGAAACACGAGUCUCAUUUGUCUUCAGAGCACAGCACUGUUCAGACACCAUCCAAGACCUUGAUCUUGUUCCUUCUUGCCCUGACCAGGGCCAAUCAGCAGGACUCACCUCCCUCUCGAUGGACCGGCUGAGAAACAAGGAAACCUCCUCCAGGCUCUGGGGCUUCAGGUCAUUCACGGCCAAAAGGCAACACGUUAGAAUUUGUUAUUAUAAACAUUUUCUUGAUUGGAUACGCACUGAUCAAUUUCAAUAGAACCUCGGCGAUGAUGGUCUUUGUAAUAGGAAAGACUAAAGCCCUUUUCCCCACUCUUUGACAGGAUGAAAAGCCGCUUUUUCCAAGAGGUCUGAAAAAUGAAAACAUUUUGCAUCUCAGUUAAAUCUCAAAGGAAGAGAAAGGAUUUUAAAAAUGCUCAUGAGGCUGGUGGGAGGCCUGUUAAAUCUUUGUGAAUACUUACUGCAGAGAAGAAAAGCUGAGGAGGUGGUGAUUUAAUAAAGUAAUCUUGUUUGCAGACUUCAUUUUCAUAAUAUAAUGUAAAUUGUUUGCCUAAUAAAAGAAAGUGAACAGGACUCAGUCUGUUCCCUAUAAAUUUCUGAGAAGAACUGCUUCAAUUGGAGAACACUGUUUACCGCUGGAAAGUUCUUCACAUUAUUCAGUUAUGGAAAAACACAUCUAUAAUAGGCCAGGAGAACAAAAAACCCAGGACCAAGUGUGUGAUUCUUAUUCAUCCACUGUCGGGACCUUUGUUCAGAUGACAUUUAGAAGCUCUUUAAUUCAGCUCACACCUGUCUGGCUCUCCGGAUGCCGGUGGCUCUCUAGAUGUGAGCAAAGAUUUGUCUCCCUUCCUGUUGAACCACCAGCCGCAGCAGCAAGAUAAUUCUGCCUUGACCUUGGACUUACCAAACAAAAGCAAAACCACCUGCUAUUGAAAAUAAGGUGGGAAAGUGGUUAAAUAGGAGCUUUCUGAAAUGUUAAUUGCUUCUCUGUAAGGAUGGACAUGUAUAGGCAGUUUUGAUUUUUUCUAUAUUUUUGAAAAGGUCUGCAAGAAAUAUGUACUACUUUCCUUAUCUAGAAAAAAUUAAUGUUGUUAAAAUAAAAUUUAUUUUAA